rnacentral:lncRNA from 1 species
UUUCUUUAUUUUAUAGUAUUGAAAGCAUGUGCAAUAAGUAUUGAAAUGCAGUAAUGAAACAAACUUAUAAACAAAAUUACAAAAAACAAGGAAUAUGAAGAUAUAAAAUCACAGGGGGUUAUAUGCGAUAAAAACCUGAUAAUCAAAUAAUAAAGAAUAAAAAAGAUCAUGAAAUAAGAAAAAAGUAUAGGUGUAGAGAAAAUCAGGGUGCAUGCAACCCGAAGCCCUUUUUCCUUCGGUUCCCUUACGUUCUCUUUUCGAAAUUGGAUUUUUCUCUUCCUCUCUUUUUUUCUUCCCUUAUGCUCUCUUCUUGAAAAUGAAUUUUUUCUCUCUUUUUUUCUGUUCCCUUAUGCUCUCUUCUUGAAAUUCAAUUCUCCUCCCCUUUCUUGUUUGCAAGGUGCAUAUUUAUAUACAUACAUUUGUAAUAUUAUUGGGAUCUUGCCUUAAUGGCGAAUUAAUUGACAAUUAGCAAAAUAGGGAAAUAAAUGGUCUUGAUUGAAGAAAAAUAAAUCAAAUCAAAAAUCAUAUUUUUCUCUUUAGGAAGAAAUUGAAUACAACAAUCAAUUUAUUAUUUUUAAUUAUUUCUUGUAAUCAUUGUCAUAAUCUUGAUUCAAAUUAUUACCAAAUAAGACAAAAUUUCAAAAAUAUUCUAAAGUGAUAUGUCAUGCAUUAAUAUUAAUGGAUUAUGAGUAUUUUUCCAAGAAAAUCAAAUCUUUUCCUUUUCAUUUUUUCACGUGCACCCCCCUUUUUUUCUUUUUCUUCUCUUUUCUUGUCUUUCCUUUUUCUUUUUUUCUCUUCUUUUUUACUAUUUUUUUUAUU